CGCGACCGAACGAAUCUACAAUUCGUAACUCUUAGUUUUUCGAUAAGCUCCGACCUCUCCAAGUUGCCAGCUCUCAUUGAAAGGUAGAGGUUGUGGACCCCUUGUUCCUGUCUCCAUAGGAAUGCCUCCAUUUUGGGUCCAGUCGUGGACAUCGCUCCUCAUAUUGGCUUGUGGGGGACACCCUUUGGCAAGCCAGGCAUCUAGUGAUUGUGCCAGCUCCAGAUGUGUCCCAUGUCAUGAAGAUUUCGGAUCUUCAGUGAGAAGAGGCCAACACUGCGAGGAUCCCAAGGCACCAAGAGAUGUAACAGGACUCCAGUUGAAUUCUGCUUCAUUAAGAUUUUGGACAUUCAAUGAGAAGAUGCCAAUAACGGUCUUUGAGAACAGCCUCCUAAUCAAUACACAAUUGCCACACUAUAAAUGACUGUAGAAAGGACAUUAUUCAUAAUAACACUCCCCAGUGUUAAUAACAAUUUAUUGAGUGAUCACACCAUCCAGUGUCACCCAAAUGAGGAUGGGUUCUCAUUUGAGUCUGGUUCCUCUCAAGGUUUCUUUCUCAAGGCUGACUCAGGCUUGGGAUUUGGUGCAUAAAUAUACAAACACAUUUAAAUAUAAAUCUAAUAUUAAUCUUGAACAUUUUGUACUAUAUUUAUGUUCUUUAAAGUUACUGUUAAAUUGUGAAAUGAACUGAAUACAAAAAAGAGAAAGAAUACAAAUGAAACUUACUGUUAUAUUUGGAAGAAAAUACACUUUGUUCUGAGAAAAUUAAAAAAUGUUCGGUUUUCAAAACUUAUUGGGAUUAAAAAUUUUUUUUUUUUUUUUUUUUUUUUUUUUUUUUUUUUUAGAUUUCCAAUCAUUUCCAUUAACAAAUUAACAAGACACAAAGCUUCUAGGAGAAUCUCCUUUAGACAGAUCAGACAAAACUGGAGCUCAACCGAUGAGUCAAGUCACGUCUGCUCUAGAACACUGUACCUACUGGAAAACAUGGAAAAAUCCCAAGACUAUCAAGGCAUUCUGGAGAAAAAUGUGCUGAACAGUAUCAGAAAGCUUGGUCUCAGAUGCAGGUCAUGAAUACUCCAACAGGAUAAUGACCCAAAA